GGAUGGAUCCCAGGGCCUCACACCUCACACACACUGGGCAGUGCGCUCCUGGAGUUACUCUCUGAGCUCCUCAUUUAGUGCUUUCUUCCUCAAAAUGCACUGAGGCUCCACACCUCUCUUAUAAUGGGUUAUCAGUCUGAUCUGAGGGAAACAUUUCAAACUGGCCACUUAACUCUGCCCUUGCCAGAACCCAACACUUCUAAGGCUGCCUCAUCCUCCAGGACCGGUGCUGACCACUGCUGCCCCACUUGGUCAAGGCCAUACUUGUGGACCUUCUCCAUGGAGCAGGGCCGACCCCGGAGCAGCCUCAGCCUGGCCAGCAGUGCUUCCACCGUCUCCUCUCUGAGUAGCCUGAGCACCAAGAAGCCUACCCGUGCAGUACACAAGGUCCAUGCCUUUGGAAAAAGGAACAAUGCACUUCGACGAGACCCCAACUUGCCGGUGCACAUCCGUGGCUGGCUGCACAAACAGGACAGCUCAGGCCUCCGGCUGUGGAAGCGCCGUUGGUUCGUCCUUUCAGGCCAUUGCCUCUUCUACUAUAAGGAUAGCAGAGAAGAGAGUGUCCUGGGCAGUGUAUUAUUACCCAGCUACAGUGUCAGGCCAGAUGGGCCCGGAGCCCCUCGUGGCCGGCGAUUCACCUUCACAGCAGAGCACCCGGGCAUGAGGACCUAUGUCCUUGCAGCUGACACAUUAGAGGACCUGAGAGGUUGGCUUCGAGCACUGGGGAGGGCCUCUCGUGCGGAGGGGGAAGAUUGCGGACUCCCGAGGUCACCUGCACGUCCCAGGCCUGGGGAAGGUCCUGGGGGACCCGGAGGACCCCCAGAGGUGAACAGAAGGGAAGAGGGGCGCAUCUCAGAAUCACCAGAGGUAGCUCGGCUCUCCAGAGGUCUUGGCAGACAUGAAACGCACACUCCCAACUCUACAGUGGAUCUGCAGACUGACACCUGGAGUCGUAGAACCCGGAGCCCAGAGUUGUUCUCACCCCUUUCCCGGCCUCCCUCCCCUCUGAGCCUUCCCCGUCCUCGCUCUGCCCCGGCCCGGCGACCCCCUCUCUCAGCAGGAGACAUCUCAUUUCCUGCCCGACCGCAUACUCCUUUGAGUCGCAUCGAUGUCCGACCUCCUCUGGAUUGGGGACCCCAAAGACAGACCCUCUCCCGACCUCCCAUUCCACGCCGAGGACCUUCCUCUGAAGCUGGCGGAGAACGGCCACCCAGGAGUCCCCAGCCCCGGACACCAGAGCAGAGAACGCAGUCUACCCAGGCCACCUCUGGUUCGUCCACCUAUCUCCAGCUGCCCCCAAGACCUCCUGGGACCCAGGCCUCCAUGAUUUUGCUGCCAGGACCCCCUGUGGACUCAGCUUUGCAUCAGAGCUUGGAGACAGAUACGUUGUUGACUAAGCUGUGUGGGCAGGACCGGCUCCUGAGGCAGCUACAGGAGGAUCUGGACAAGAGGCAGGAGGAGAAGGAGCAGCUGGAGGCAGCUUUGGAGCUGACCCGGCAGCAGCUGGGCCAAGCUACCAGGGAGGCUGCAGCUUCCGGGAAGGCCUGGGGUCGCCAGCGCCUUCUGCAGGACCGGCUGGUGAACGUGAGGGCUGCUCUGUGUCACCUGGCUCAGGAGCGAGAGCGAGUUUGGGACACAUACAGCGGCCUGGAGCAGGACCUCGGCACCCUAAGAGAGACGCUCGAGUACCUGCUGCACCUCGGGUCUCCCCAGGACCGUGCGUGUGCUCAACAGCAGCUGUGGAUGGUGGAGGACACGCUGGCAGGUCUGGGUGGCCCCCAGAAACAGCCCCCACAUACUGAUCCCAAGUCUCCAUCCCCUGCACCCCAAGGAGAAGAGUCCUCAGAGAGGGAGACCCUGGAAUGGAACUUAAAUCGUCAGACUUGGUGGCAAGUACCCUUAUCUGCGGAGAUAUCUCACCAGCCCCUUAUUUAGUAAAUGUAUUGUUCUUUAUUAUUCCAUCUGUCACCUACCUUUCCCGUCCACCUCAGGCAGAAUAGGCACCAACACCAAAGAGAACCUCAAGGCUGCUUUGGUAAAGUGCUGGGUUUCUAGGGGCUGACUACAGGAGCAUGCCUGUGUGACUCUAAGGCAGCUGCUUCACUGGGAAGCAACCCUAUCAGCCAGGUCCACCGCCUAGCAUGGCGCCUGCUCUGCUCAUGUGUGAAAAACCUCACACAGUGCUUUGACUGCCUUACAUAGCAAAGGGUGAAUGCUUUGGAUGUUGGUUAAGCAACGUGUUUAAGAUGAGUGGUUAAGCAACGUCUUCAAAGUCACAGAGCUAACGAGGGGCAGAGAUGGGAUUUGAAGCCAGUCUAUCUGGCUCUGGGUUUGUAAGCUUCUCCUAGCUCUGCCUCAGUUAAUGACAGUAUUUGAUCCCCACUCCACCCUUCCAGAGCCUUUCAGAGUCACUGGAGCUCAGCUCCCCUCAGUCCCCUGAGGUGGACUGGAGUCGUCCCUCAGGCGGUGACAGAGCCCUCAGCAGCCCUCAGUCAGGUGUUGGGUCUCCAAGGGUCUCCCGGGCAUCCAGCCCUGAAUGUCGUCAACCCUCAUCUCCACUGCUGAGAACUAAGGCCCCGCUGGCGCGGCCUCGUAUGAGCGCGCAGGAGCAGCUGGAGCGCAUGCGUAGAAACCAAGCAUGCGGGCUCCCUCUUCCUCGCCCUACCUCCCCGAGGCUCCUGACCCUGGGGAGGACACUGUCCCCAGCUCCACGCCAGCCUGACAUGGAACAGAGGCCUAUUGUUGGAGCUGCGAAAUGGCUCAGGAGUUCUGGGUCCUGGAGUAGUCCCAGGCACUCUGCAACCUGCUCACCAGUACCUGGAGGCCACCGGGAGCGAGUGCUCAGCCUCUCCCAGGCUCUAGCUACAGAGGCUUCCCAGUGGCACAGGCUGAUGGCAGCCUCUCCAGGCAGAAAUUUGGAUACCAGGGGAGACUGUCUCCAGCCAAGCCCACAGCCUCCCAGUGAAGAACUGCCCCAGGUCACCUCGUCCCCAGCUCCUCACAAGGCUACUUCUGCUACCACAGGGUUCUCAUGCCAAGGCAGCCGGAGAGGCCUGGCCCCAUGGGAGGCCAGGUGGGACCCUGGGAAGGCCCCUCCAGCUCUGACCCAGGAAGAGGGGGCAUGGCCCUUCAGAGUCACUCUGCUGCAGUCCAGCUUUUGACUCCCAUCUUUAUACUGAGCCCUACAAGCUGGAAGCACAACUUUGAGGUGUGGGACCAUUCAGGACCACAGGGGAGAGGUUCAUUCCAGCAUGUAUUCUAGGAGGGCCAGGGCCGCUAUGGUCAAAGAUUGAUUUUCCCAACACUGUCCAAAAUUGGAUGAAAACUUUGAACUAUUAGUCAAUAAAUAGCUUUUAUUCUCUC